AACGCGAAGAACCUUACCAACCUUUGACAUCCCGAUCGCGGGCACCAGAGAUGGAGCCUUUCAGUUCGGCUGGAUCGGAGACAGGUGCUGCAUGGCUGUCGUCAGCUCGUGUCGUGAGAUGUUGGGUUAAGUCCCGCAACGAGCGCAACCCUCGCCCUUAGUUGCCAUCAUUUAGUUGGGCACUCUAAGGGGACUGCCGGUGAUAAGCCGCGAGGAAGGUGGGGAUGACGUCAAGUCCUCAUGGCCCUUACAGGUUGGGCUACACACGUGCUACAAUGGCGGUGACAGAGGGACGCAAGGGAGCAAUCCUUCGCAAAUCUCAAAAAGCCGUCUCAGUUCGGAUUGUGCUCUGCAACUCGAGCACAUGAAGUUGGAAUCGCUAGUAAUCGCAGAUCAGCACGCUGCGGUGAAUACGUUCCCGGGCCUUGUACACACCGCUCGUC
rnacentral:rRNA from 1 species